UACGUAGGGAGCUAGCGUUGUCCGGAUUUAUUGGGCGUAAAGAGCGUGUAGGCGGCCAGGUAGGUCUGGUGUGAAAACUCGAGGCUUAACCUCGAGAUGUCAUCGGAAACCAUUUGGCUAGAGUCCGGAAGAGGAGAGUGGAAUUCCUGGUGUAGCGGUGAAAUGCGCAGAUAUCAGGAAGAACACCAAUGGCGAAAGCAGCUCUCUGGGACGGUACUGACGCUGAGACGCGAAAGCGUGGGAGCGAACAGG
rnacentral:rRNA from 1 species